rnacentral:rRNA from 1 species
CACACUCCGUCGCCGCACGUAGCCGCGGCCUCCGCGCGAGGCGGAGAGGCGAGCGGGACGAGCGGCGCCGGCUACUGGCGUGGUGGGCUCUGGCGCCGGUGUGCUUUUUUGCCGCCGCUACUCCUCCGGGCCGGGAACCGCGGCUGGGCGCGAGGGCUCGCCGCCGCCGCAGCCUAGGCCGGCGGGGCGCCCCGGUCGGGAGGGCAGGCGCGGCGCGGCGCAGCGGCGGCCGUACCUCCGGGCACGAGCCCGUCGGCGGCGCCGCAGCAGCCGCAGCCACGCCGCCGCCCCAGAAACCCCUGGCGCACCGCCCCCUGGCCGCGCCGAAGGCCAGCUCCCAAGGCCGCUGCGGUUCGGCAUCUAGACUCGGCGGCAGACGUGGAGCGAAGGAGGGUACAAAGCUAGACCUAAGAUAUUUGCUCUCUCUUCUCCAAAGUUCGUAACGAACCACGUACAUGUAACUUCUUAAGUACCUAACACCCCCAUAGUCAAUCUCGACCUAAAUUUAAGGAAGUGCUCGGGGGGCGUAUUUCUCUAAUAUGUUUGCUCUCUCUUUUCUCCGAGGUCUUCAAGAAUAUUGGGUCGAGUUCACCAAAGUUCGUAACGAACCACGUUGAUAUACAUUCUUAAGUGUCUAGCACCUCAUAGUAAAUCUCGACCUAAAAUUAAGGAAUUACUCGGGGUCGUAUUUCUCACUAUUUUUCACUCAAAACAAAGAAGAGAAAACUAGUUUAAGGGGUACGUCCGUUCAUAUAACGACUACGUAUUAAACAACGAAGUCCCUAGAGUUUUUAUACUAAACAUACCUCGACAUGUUGUAAUCCCACUUAGAAAUAACCCACCAGUGGAUGCAAACGAUAUAGGUAAACAAUGUUUUACUAAUUAAAGAUUAUUAUUACUACG